UACAGAGGGGGCAAGCGUUAUUCGGAAUUAUUGGGCGUAAAGGGCGCGUAGGCGGCUUGGCAAGUGGAUGGUGAAAUCCCUCGGCUUAACCGAGGAACUGCCGUCCAAACUGCUUCGCUUGAGUCCGGGAGAGGUGAGUGGAAUUCCCAGUGUAGCGGUGAAAUGCGUAGAUAUUGGGAGGAACACCAGUGGCGAAGGCGGCUCACUGGACCGGUACUGACGCUGAUGCGCGAAAGCGUGGGGAGCAAACGGG
rnacentral:rRNA from 1 species